ACGCUGGCGGCGUGCCUAAUACAUGCAAGUAGAACGCUGAAGAGUGGAGCUUGCUCUUCUUGGAUGAGUUGCGAACGGGUGAGUAACGCGUAGGUAACCUGCCUUGUAGCGGGGGAUAACUAUUGGAAACGAUAGCUAAUACCGCAUAACAAUGGAUGACUCAUGUCGUUUAUUUGAAAGGGGCAAAUGCUCCACUACAAGAUGGACCUGCGUUGUAUUAGCUAGUAGGUGAGGUAACGGCUCACCUAGGCGACGAUACAUAGCCGACCUGAGAGGGUGAUCGGCCACACUGGGACUGAGACACGGCCCAGACUCCUACGGGAGGCAGCAGUAGGGAAUCUUCGGCAAUGGGGGCAACCCUGACCGAGCAACGCCGCGUGAGUGAAGAAGGUUUUCGGAUCGUAAAGCUCUGUUGUAAGUCAAGAACGAGUGUGAGAGUGGAAAGUUCACACUGUGACGGUAGCUUACCAGAAAGGGACGGCUAACUACGUGCCAGCAGCCGCGGUAAUACGUAGGUCCCGAGCGUUGUCCGGAUUUAUUGGGCGUAAAGCGAGCGCAGGCGGUUUGAUAAGUCUGAAGUUAAAGGCUGUGGCUCAACCAUAGUUCGCUUUGGAAACUGUCAAACUUGAGUGCAGAAGGGGAGAGUGGAAUUCCAUGUGUAGCGGUGAAAUGCGUAGAUAUAUGGAGGAACACCGGUGGCGAAAGCGGCUCUCUGGUCUGUAACUGACGCUGAGGCUCGAAAGCGUGGGGAGCGAACAGGAUUAGAUACCCUGGUAGUCCACGCCGUAAACGAUGAGUGCUAGGUGUUGGAUCCUUUCCGGGAUUCAGUGCCGCAGCUAACGCAUUAAGCACUCCGCCUGGGGAGUACGACCGCAAGGUUGAAACUCAAAGGAAUUUGACGGGGGCCCGCACAAGCGGUGGA
rnacentral:rRNA from 1 species